GGGAGCCUGUAGCUUCUAAGAUGGAAGAGCAUGUACAGGGCCUGGAAGAAGCGAGGAGCUGCCUCUCACUGGGAAGAUUUUGGUGGUGAUUUUGGUUGACCACUUGGACCAACUCUGCCAUGAAUAUCGUUGAAGAUCUGACCAUUACAUUCCCAAUAACUGUUGCUUCAAUUUCCAUUAGAUGGAUUUCAAGCAGAGGAACGUCUGUUCUGCUCCGUCUGUGCACGGCCUGUUUUCACACAUCCCUAUUGUCUCUCCGUGUGUGAAGAAGAGCAGCCAGUUACUGCAGUGUGUGGCCAUUUACCGCUA